GUUUAGUUAUCUUGGUUAAUGUUAAGUUUAUGUGACAGUUGUAUUAUAGCUUAGCUUUAUACUUAGGACUAUCAACAUAAUAUCAAUGAUUAGUAUAGAAGGCGAGACAUUUCAGCGUGUGCACUCUUGUUAGCAUUUUUCAUAAAUUUUUGUAAAUUUUUAGAAAAUAUUUUCCACUGUAAUUACUGGGCCAAGUUCAUUAUAGAUAGAGAUAAUUGUAGCAACAAGAAUGUUCAGUAAAGUAAGAUCUACAAACACAUCACCAUCACCAAAACACAAUUAUGUCAUGAAUUUAUCUGUGUCCAUUGUUUAAUAUGCACAUAGACCAAGGUGAGCGACACAGGCUCUUGAGAGCCUCUAGUUUGGCAAUA
rnacentral:lncRNA from 1 species